rnacentral:rRNA from 1 species
CAGUCGCCACGGGAAUACGUAGGGUGCGAGCGUUAAUCGGAAUUACUGGGCGUAAAGCGUGCGCAGGCGGUUCGUUAAGACAGAUGUGAAAUCCCCGGGCUUAACCUGGGAACUGCGCUUGUGACUGCACAGCUAGAGUAUGGCAGAGGGGGGUGGAAUUCCACGUGUAGCAGUGAAAUGCGUAGAGAUGUGGAGGAACACCGAUGGCGAAGGCAGCCCCCUGGGCCAAUACUGACGCUCAUGCACGAAAGCGUGGGGAGCAAACAGGAUUAGAUACCCGGGUAGUCCCUGUCUCUUAUAC